rnacentral:rRNA from 1 species
CGGGUGAGUAACGCGUGAGGAACCUGCCUCAAAGAGGGGGACAACAGUUGGAAACAACUGCUAAUACCGCAUAAGCCCACGGUGCCGCAUGGCACAGAGGGAAAAGGAGCAAUCCGCUUUGAGAUGGCCUCGCGUCCGAUUAGCUAGUUGGUGAGGUAAUGGCCCACCAAGGCGACGAUCGGUAGCCGGACUGAGAGGUUGAACGGCCACAUUGGGACUGAGACACGGCCCAG